UCUGGUGACUAUAGCAAGGAGGUCACACCUGUUCCCAUGCCGAACACAGAAGUUAAGCUCCUUAGCGUCGAUGGUAGUAGAACUUACGUUCCGCCAGAGUAGAACGUUGCCAGGC
rnacentral:rRNA from 1 species